CUCUGAAAUCACUGCUUUAUGUUCGUUAAAGCAUAGACUACAAGGUAAAGACUGAACUCCCCUAUAACCCUCCACAGGCGAUGCUUCUGCAUGCCGGUAGGGGUCAGGCCGUACCGGUUAACAAGGCAAUUUAGUCGUUCCCCGUUUCCCUACUGAUUACGUGCUUCACACACACGCAUUUUCGGGUAUAGACCUUUUUAAGAUUGCUCGGUGUAAGCACAGCGAAAAGUCGUGCGGCUAGUCGACUAGUGCGCACCAUGGCGGGGGAUAGCCGUAACUAGCUGCAGACUUGGCUUGAUUCUUCGAAUCACCUUGUUGUUCGGCUCUAUGUUACUGUAGUCUGCUAGUGUAUUAAAGAUGUAAGGGAUGAAAACUAUGAGAAUUACAAUAAUAACUACCUGAGACAAAGUGAUGUGAACACACAAAAUAGUUGCAACUUCUUCCAUAAAUCAACGCAAUAGGUUUGACAUACAACACAGAGUGCCAGACUACAGUAACAUAGAGCCGAACAACAAGGUGAUUCGAAGAAUCAAGCCAAGUCUGCAGCUAGUUACGGCUAUCCCCCGCCAUGGUGCGCACUAGUCGACUAGCCGCACGACUUUUCGCUGUGCUUACACCGAGCAAUCUUAAAAAGGUCUAUAUGGAAUUCAUAUUGAUUUUUAUAUUUUAUACUAUAAUUUUAUAUAGCCCUUCCACGUGUCUCUUGAAUUUUUGCUUAAUUUUACUUGCAAAUUCGGGUGUAGAAAAAAAAGUUUUAUGUGACCAUCGUUUCUCAUGAAUAUUUGGAUUUUUAAAUGAAAUCUUGAAACACUGUUGUGAAUUUGUAGGCGUCAUUUACAUUGUUUACGCUGUGGUUUUUCAAGGAUUAUGUUGUUCUGUGGUGUUCAAAAUAAAACAAAAGGCAUUUAAUUAAUUUUGGUUAUGAAUCUCGCUAGGCGAUAAAUGAUAAAUAUAUGUGAUAAUUCGAUUCUUGAGUGAUCAGAAGUCAGUGUUUAAAAGGUUGUCAGUCACUGAAUAAUACAUACAUCUUGAACAUA